rnacentral:rRNA from 1 species
AACGAACGCUGGCGGCAUGCCUAACACAUGCAAGUCGAACGAGAUCUUCGGUUCUAGUGGCGCACGGGUGCGUAACGCGUGGGAACCUGCCCUUAGGUUCGUAAUAACUCCCCGACAUGGGUGCUAAUACCGGAUAAUGUCUUCGGACCAAAGAUUUAUCGCCUUUGGAUGGGCCCGCGUUGGAUUAGCUAGUUGGUAGGGUAAAAGCCUACCAAGGCGACGAUCCAUAGCUGCUCUGAGAGGAUGAUCAGCCACACUGGGACUGAGACACGGCCCAGACUCCUACGGGAGGCAGCAGUGGGGAAUAUUGGACAAUGGGCGAAAGCCUGAUCCAGCAAUGCCGCGUGAGUGAUGAAGGACUUAGGGAUGUAAAGCUCUUUUAGCAGGGAAGAUAAUGACAGUACCGGGAGAAUAAGCUCCGGCUAACUACGUG